AACGCACCUUGCGCUCCUUGGUAUUCCGAGGAGCAUGCCUGUUUGAGUGUCAUGGAAUUCUCAACUCUAUUUGCUUUUGUGAAUAGAGCUUGGACUUGGAGGUUUAUUGCCGGUACCUGUGAUCGGCUCCUCUUGAAUGCAUUAGCUGGUCGCGACGCGGUCCUUUGCCCGGCGCGCCCGUCCUCGGUGUAGUACGCUAUUCACCUUGGUCGGCGCCGCCUUGACCUGUCUGGCUGCUUCGAACCGCCCUCGAGCAACUUAAUCUAUUGCUUUGACCUCAAAUCAGGUAGGACUACCCGCUGAACUUAA
rnacentral:rRNA from 1 species